AUGGAAAUCUCCAAAUUUUACAUUUCUCUCAGCUUGUUGGAGACUGCCAAACUCUUUGUUACAAUGUGCAUUUCACAGGACAGUGAGAAGAUGCUCCCUGGAGAUCUCAGACAGAAAUCAGUGUACUCGAAGUACUACAGUACCAAAGCAGGAAAGGUAUGUGCCUCUACAGGGCACCAAGAACUACAGGACCAAACAAAUAUGGGAGAAAAAUGUUAUCCACAAAUCUAUUAGCUUUUGUUUAAAAGGAUCAUUCGAGUAAGACAUAUUAAAGGUCAUAAAACAUGUAGAAAGUUUUCAGGGUCUAAGUUGUUGAGGUAUUUUAUUUAUUGUUUUCCGUGGAUCUUGUCACAAUCCUACAUUGUUCUUUAGGGUAGCUUAACUUCUCAAGAAAUGUAAGUGCAUUAUCCUUUAAAAUGGCCAUCUCUUUGAACAGGACAGAUAUCAGGCUAUGUGAAGUUCCAAAGAAACUACUGUGAAUCUGUCCAUAUGCAUAACAGGUUGCUGUUAUACAGAAGUAUUCUAAUGAAUUUUGAAAUUAUCUAUCCAUG
rnacentral:lncRNA from 1 species